rnacentral:rRNA from 1 species
UACGGAGGGUCCAAGCGUUAUCCGGAAUCACUGGGUUUAAAGGGUGCGUAGGCGGAUAGAUAAGUCCGAGGUGAAAUCUCUGAGCUCAACUCAGAAACUGCCUCUGAUACUGUUUAUCUUGAAUUCAUUUGAAGUAGGCGGAAUAGGUCAUGUAGCGGUGAAAUGCGUAGAUAUGACCUAGAACACCGAUUGCGAAGGCAGCUUACUAAGAUGACAUUGACGCUGAGGCACGAAAGCGUGGGUAGCGAACAGG